rnacentral:rRNA from 1 species
CACGUAGGGUGCGAGCGUUGUCCGGAAUUAUUGGGCGUAAAGAGCUCGUAGGCGGUGUGUCGCGUCGGCCGUGAAAACCUGCAGCUUAACUGUGGGCUUGCGGUCGAUACGGGCAUCACUGGAGUUCGGCAGGGGAGAUUGGAAUUCCUGGUGUAGCGGUGAAAUGCGCAGAUAUCAGGAAGAACACCCGUGGCGAAGGCGGCUCUCUGGGACGGUACUGACGCUGAGACGCGAAAGCGUGGGGAGCGAACAGG